AUACGGAGGUUGCAAGCGUUGUCCGGAUUUAUUGGGUUUAAAGGGUGCGUAGGCGGCCCGUUAAGUCAGUGGUGAAAGGUAUCAGCUUAACUGCUGAAGUGCCAUUGAAACUGAAGGGCUUGAGUACAGACGAGGUAGGCGGAAUUUAUGGUGUAGCGGUGAAAUGCAUAGAUACCAUAAAGAACACCGAUAGCGAAGGCAGCUUACUAGAGUGAGACUGACGCUGAGGCACGAAAGCGUGGGGAGCGAACAGGAUUAGAUACCCCGGUAGUCC
rnacentral:rRNA from 1 species